AGCCAUCAUUUAAAGAGUGCGUAAUAGCUCACUAGUCGAGUGAAAAUGCGCCGAAAAUGUACCGGGGCUACACAUAUUACCGAAGCUGUGGAUUGUCCUUUUGACAAUGGUAGGAGAGCGUUCUAAGGGCGUUGAAGCAUGAUCGUAAGGACAUGUGGAGCGCUUAGAAGUGAUAAUUCCGGUGUGAGUAUCGAAAGACGGGUGAGAAUCCCGACCACCGAUUGACUAAUGUUUCC
rnacentral:rRNA from 1 species